AGUUAGUCGGACGGCUGCGGAAAACGGGCUUUAAUUUAAGCCUUGCGUUUUCUGAGGAAAGUCCGAGCAUCGUAGGGCGGAAUAACGGCUAACGGCCGCCGUGGGCAACCAUAGGACGAGUGCAACAGAGAUAUACCGCCGAUUUUUUGCCGUAACGAUUUUAUUUUUUAAAAUUCGUUUCGGUUUUUGGUAAGGGUGGAAAGGUGCGGUAAGAGCGCACCGGGCCGAUAGGUAACUAUCGGCUUAUGUAAACUCUAUUCGAUGCAACACCAACCGAAACUAUACGCUUGCCCGGCGUGUUUCAAAAGGUGGCUGGAGCGCAGGAGCAAUUCUGCGUCGAGAUAGAUGGUCGUCUUUAAUAUAGGAAUUUAUUUUCUAUAUUAAAACAGAACUCGGCUUACAGACUGACUC
rnacentral:RNase_P_RNA from 1 species